rnacentral:rRNA from 1 species
AGCAUGCAAGUCGAGGCGUAGAAAGUCUUAGGACUUUUGAGACCGGCGAACGGGUGAGUAACACGUAGAUUAUCUGUCUCUGGAUGGGGGAUAGCCCAUGGAAACGUGGGGUAAUACCGCAUAAGCUCUCUUUUUCAUAAGGAGGAGAGAGGAAAGGCGCUUAGGGGUCGUCCGGAGAGGAGUCUGCGGUUCAUUAGUUAGUUGGUGGGGUAAAGGCCUACCAAUGCGACGAUGAAUAGCCGGCCUGAGAGGGUGAACGGCCACACUGGGACUGAGACACGGCCCAGACUCCUACGGGAGGCAGCAGCUAAGAAUCUUCCGCAAUGGGCGAAAGCCUGACGGAGCGACGCCUCGUGAACGAAGAAGGCCUAACGGUUGUAAAGUUCUUUUCUUGGGGAAGAAUAAGCCUUGCAGGGAAUGGCAGGGUGAUGACGUUAACCGAGGAAAAAGCCCCGGCUAAUUACGUGCCAGCAGCCGCGGUAACACGUAAGGGGCGAGCGUUGUUCGGAAUUAUUGGGCGUAAAGGGCGCGUAGGCGGCAUAGCAAGUCAGGUGUGAAAGAUCUCAGCUCAACUGAGGAAACGCGCUUGAAACUGCUGUGCUGGAGUCUAGGAGGGGAAGCUGGAAUUCCUAGUGUAGGGGUGAAAUCUGUAGAUAUUAGGAAGAACACCGGUGGCGAAGGCGAGCUUCUGGCCAUAGACUGACGCUGAGGCGCGAAAGCGUGGGGAGCGAACAGGAUUAGAUACCCUGGUAGUCCACGCCGUAAACGAUGUGCACUGGGUGUCGGCCCCGUGGGGUCGGUGCCGAAGCUACGCGAUAAGUGCACCGCUGGGAGUAUGCUCG